ACGGAGUUAGCCGGGGUUUCUUUACCUGCUACCGUCAUUAUCUUCACAGGCGAAAGAGCUUUACGACCCUAAGGCCUUCAUCACUCACGCGGCAUGGCUGGAUCAGGCUUGCGCCCAUUGUCCAAGAUUCCCC
rnacentral:rRNA from 1 species